rnacentral:rRNA from 1 species
UACGUAGGGUGCAAGCGUUGUCCGGAUUUAUUGGGCGUAAAGAGCUCGUAGGCGGUCUGUCGCGUCGGAUGUGAAAACCCAGGGCUCAACCCUGGGCCUGCAUUCGAUACGGGCAGACUAGAGUGUGGCAGGGGAGACUGGAAUUCCUGGUGUAGCGGUGGAAUGCGCAGAUAUCAGGAGGAACACCGGUGGCGAAGGCGGGUCUCUGGGCCGUUACUGACGCUGAGGAGCGAAAGCGUGGGGAGCGAACAGG